GACGAACGCUGGCGGCAUGCCUAAUACAUGCAAGUCGAGCGGAGUUGAUGAAGUGCUUGCACUUCUGAAGCUCAGCGGCGGACGGGUGAGUAACACGUAGGCAACCUGCCUGUAAGACUGGGAUAACUACCGGAAACGGUAGCUAAUACCGGAUAGGCUUUCACCUCACCUGAGGAGAAAGAGAAAGACGGAGCAAUCUGUCACUUACAGAUGGGCCUGCGGCGCAUUAGCUAGUUGGUAGGGUAAUGGCCUACCAAGGCGACGAUGCGUAGCCGACCUGAGAGGGUGAUCGGCCACACUGGGACUGAGACACGGCCCAGGACUCCUACGGGAGGCUG
rnacentral:rRNA from 1 species